CCUUUAAAAGAGAGUUUCAAGAGAAAUCAUAAGCACCAAUUUUAAGAGGUUGGAGCGAAGUCAUGUUGUGUUUUUUUUACCAUUAAGAGACACUCCAAAGCGGUUGUAAUAGACUUCUCCAUACAAUUAUCUACACUUCGUUCAGUUUCUACACUACUACACGAUGUGCAAUCAUGCGUCCAAGUAUAAACAAGAAAAAGGAAUGCACGAGUGGUGUGGAAAUUCAUGCAAUUGCUCCGAGAAAGAAGAGGGAUUUGGUUCAUGCGUUCUUCCGCCAAUGAAGCACGAAGAAGAAGAUUGACAAGGCAUCUGCUACUUGUCAAAUUGGCAGACUAGUGAUUUGCAAAGCAAUUGGUGUGCUGUUAUUCCACAGUAAUGGACUAUAACAAUUAUUGUCAUCAAGUCGGAGGUUUUGGCAUGGAAAAAAGAAAUGAGUUCCUCUCAUUUCCUUCAUUUAAGGAUUGGAGAUUUUAAGAGUCACACAUUCUAAGUUGAUGAAAUGUCAUAUACAAGUUGGUGUUCUUGUUGGGAAAACUGACGAGACAAUAAGAUACCUGCAGUACAACUCAGGAACUAAAAUUAAAAUAACAAGAUAUGCUGAAGCUGAUCCAGAUUCUAAUAGUUCGCCAGUCGAACUAAUAUGGUCCUGGACAACAUUAACAAGGCAGAGAAAUUCAUAAAGGAUGUCAUUGCUGAGCUGAUGAUAGUGGUUCACCAUCCCUUGUGGCUAGAGGUUUUGGUACUUUACAAUCCGAUGGAGCACAAUUUGAAAUUAAAGUGCCAAAUGAGAAGUUAUGUGUAAUCUAUAAGCAUUUUUUUCUUGGUUACCUUUUUUAGAUCAGUUUGUGUUUUCCACUGUGUAGGUUGGUAUUAUCAUAGGCAACGGUGGUGAGACUAUUAAAAAUCUACAAACUAGAUCUGGUGCUCGCAUACAAAUUACCGUUGCGCCAAGGAUCCCCUUCAUAAAGGGACAACUUGAUGCACAAAACUCCAACUAAUGCGGGGUCCCGGGAAAGGGUCUAUUCUACGUAGCCUUAUAUCGCUUUACAAGAGGCUAUUUCCGAUAGUGCUCACAUACAAAUUGUGAUAUUAACACAGAUCAUUUGUCUUGAAUUUAAUACUGGUGCUUGUUAACACACUCACAAUUACUUGUUUAGUUUUUUUCUACCUAAUACUUCUUAUAGUUAAGACCACAACUCCCUAAAGGGUGAUGCAUCAAAGGAACGAACUGUUCAUGUAACUGGUGACCGAAGACAAAUUGAAUCUGCCAAAGAAGUGUUCAAGGAAGUAAUGAAUCAGGCACCUGGGUCAUCACCUCUAUCAGGUUACAACCACCACAAUUACGUAACCAUCCUCGUGGGUCAGAUGCUCAGCCCCAUUGGGGAGCUCGAGCCCUGUUUACCAGCCAGCCAUGAGGAACCUACCCACCACCGCAGUCGACUCAAUAUCCUCUUAUGGUCGCUACUCGCAGCAGUUUGCUCCAUGUGGUGGCUUUAGCAAUGCUGGUUGGGACCUGAGAUCAUCAGCCACUGUCCAUAAUGCUCCAACUGGUGGUUAUGAUUAUUAUGGUCAUGGUGGCCCGCUAGGUCGAAGACAAACAACCAUCUCUGCCUGAGCUAUGACAGCCUUAACCUUCACUUAAUGUACAUUCUGCCCCUUAUGGGCAACCUGCUCCCACACAACAGAACCAUGGCCAAGGAUAUAAUGACCCCAGCUAAGAUACGCAAAUAACAGGUCAUCAGUUUUAUAACCAGCAUACUAUGGGACCGCAAUCAAAUAAAUGUCCAUGGCCAAGCAACUGCUCCCCAGUCUGGUUACAGCCAGCUGCCAUCAUAUAACGACGAGCAAGCUUAUGGUGCGGCCCAGGACCACCAUGAGCAAACCAAUCUGGAGAUCCAGCUGAUCAGGGUCAUGCACCACUAUCAUAUGGAUCAGGCCCUCAGCAAUAUCCUUAUGGAUCCAACGCAGCUUCUCAGCCGCACCUGCCUACAAUCAGAUUUAUGAGCCUGCAUCUGGUGCUGUGGAUGGGUAUGCUCACCCAACAUCAGCAGCUCAUACUCAGCAUGGGGGCCAAAUUACUACUCUUGGCUAUCUGCAAGUGGGACAAGCCCAGUUUCAGUCAUAUAGUUAUGGACAGUACCCCACACCCCCAACAAUGGUAGUCAAAGAUGAAAUUCACCAUCCAACAGCCCCACAUUGUUAGUCCUACGAUCAUGAGGUAAAUCAGAAAAUUGUAGUUGGUUAGUGCGGGGAGGAUUUUUUUUUCUCGACUUUGUCCUACACUAGCCAACUCAACUCUACCUGAGGGGCAUCCCCACACCCCAACAAGAUCACAGUGACCCUGUCGCAGGCAAUACUAAUUAUGGGUAUCAUUGCUGCUGAACCAGCUAAUGUCACAAUGUCCCAGUUUCAGAACAUGGUGUUCUACCUGCUGCUAGCGGCCAGCCUGGUUUAUGCCCUGCAGCCAUCAAAUCCAUCUGGUUAUUAUGAUCAAUAUUAGGGCACCAGGCUAUUCUAACAUUUAAUAAAACGUCUCUCCCCAAACUGGAUUAUGGUGGAUCGUACGAUUCUACUGCUCAAAAUGUUCGUCAUUGAUGAAAUUAUCCAAAGCACUGCUAAGCUUUACACACUUUUAUGUAUGAUUUUAUCUGUUUGACAUCUGUGCUGGGGCGUGAUUCUAGCUUUUAGACAUUUGGGGUGGAGCAAUGAUCCUAACUGUGCAUGGAAUAUCGCCUUGGACAUGCUGCCCAUCUUUUGUAACCAUGGAUGCUGGACGUUCUUAUGAAAGUUUUUUCUUCUCCAGUGUCGAAACGGAGUUUGCUUGGUGCGUUAAGGGCAGUUGGAGUAGGGUUUAGGGUUUACUGCUGCUCGCAAACAGUGGUCUGUUGCAUUGAAGGUGCUAAGCCUGCACAUUACUUAUAGAGCAGAGCUCGACAGACAGGGAGCUUAUCAUUACAAUCCACAAAACAUGGUUUCGGCAAGUCAUUAGAUUAUCAGCUAUCUAUAGCUAAAUAAGCUUCUAUAUUAACAUAUUAUUUUAAUUUAUUUAGUAUUUUUAGUCAAAAUUAUUAAUUUCAUAUAACCACUAAGUUGCCCCCACGGAUUGAACCAUUGUAGUAAAAGAAAUAGAUUUUAGAGUCAAUUUUUAACGGGGUAAAAUAUUUUGUUGGAUGUCUUAUUUUUUCUAUGUAAAGGAUUGUUGUAUUAAGACAAAUGUCUCUGUGAUUUA